CACGUAGGGGGCAAGCGUUGUCCGGAUUUAUUGGGCGUAAAGAGCUCGUAGGUGGUUCGGUAAGUCGGGUGUUAAACCCCCAGGCUCAACCUGGGGACGCCACUCGAUACUGCUGUGACUAGAGUCCGGUAGGGGAGCGUGGAAUUCCUGGUGUAGCGGUGAAAUGCGCAGAUAUCGGGAGGAACACCAGUGGCGAAGGCGGCUCUCUGGACAGAUACUGACACUGAGGCGCGAAAGCGUGGGAAGCAAACAGG
rnacentral:rRNA from 1 species